AUGGCUAAUGAGGAGUUCCUCCCUUUGGUUAGGAAAAUCUGGCAGAGACCAGUUAGGUCUUCUGACCCUAUUGAUGUCCUUAAUAUCAAAUUGAAGUGUUUUAAAAAGUUUUUUAAAGGUUGGGGAUCUGAUAAAUUUGGACAUGUUAUAAAAAGGAAGAAAAUGAUCAAGGACGAACUUGCUUCCAUAGAGACUAUGGAAGAACAAGGCCCUCUCGAUCCUGAUACCCUAGACAAAAGUGCUUCCCUUAGUGGUGAACUCCAGCAACUCAUGGUGAAUGAGGAAUUAUAUUGGCUCCAACAAUCACACGAAACGUGGCUGUUGAAAGGAGAUCAAAACACUGCUUUCUACCAUAGGAUUGCCAAUGGGAAGAAACGGAAAAAUACCAUUCAUUCCUUCUCAUGUGGUGACACCACCAUUGAGGGGUCUGAUAAUUUGCAUAAGCACGCCACUGAUUUCUACAAGGAGCUGUUUGGUCCGGCCCCGAGGAAUCUUUUUCACUUAGAUCCUGACACUUGGGGAGACAAUGAGAAGCUUACGGCUGAGGAGAACGAGUUCCUGACCAGACCUUUUAGCGAGGAAGAGGUGAAAAAAGCCCUAUUCUCUAUGGACAGUAAUAGAGCCCCUGGGCCAAACAAUAUUCCAGCAUAAUUCUAUCGAUUCUGUUGGGAUGUUGUCAAGAAAGAUAUUAUUAACUUGUUUAAGGCCUUUCAUGAAGGGACUCUGGAUGUAGAGAGAUUGAAUUAUGGGACUAUUACCCUGAUUCCUAAAAUCAAUGGGGCCAAAAAAACCAAGAAUUUCGACCCAUUUGCCUUUUGA
rnacentral:rRNA from 1 species